rnacentral:lncRNA from 1 species
AUCUGACACCGUCUCUCAGUGUUUUCCUGUGAUUCUGUGGACAUCCCUCGAUGUUCAUGACAAUGCUUCAGGUUGUGCUGAUGGUGAGAGACAGACAGCAGUCGGCGCUGGUCUGACGGCCAUCACUCAUGCGGUCAGGAGGAUGCAGAAAUGAUGCAACAUGCAAACAACUAAUGGGCUUUAAAACCAAAGUUGUUCUGCGAUGCACAGAUGCCGAUCCGGUGGUGUCACGAGCGCUUUUACCUGUCUGGAGGGGAAUCUACUGAGAAGAGAGAAGUACUGAAGGCAGACUUUUUGAAACCUGAACAAUUUGGUGUGAUUGAGUCAAGAGAAACUGAGUAUGAAAUCACCAGCUUUCAAGGUUUAAUUUGUCCAGCAUCUGGAUUGGAUUCGGAUUCUGUGGCCAAUCCCGAGCCGGACCGAGGGAGGACCUGCGCCCGCUCUGCGCGACCUGUGGCCUUCACCCAGAUCAAACACUGAUGCUCUUUGGCUGAUUUCCCACCGAUAAUGACAACUUUAUGCUUUUGCGUGAGAAUAGAGUGAUGUAAAUCCAAUCAUGUGCCUGCUAACGUCUAGGAAAUCUUCUUUAUACACAUUUAGCUCAGUUAGAGGAGAUUUCUGUCUUCUACAGUGCAGUAUAUUCUACACUCAUCUCUUCUAUAUUUAUAACGCUCUAUUUAGCGAUUCUGAUACUUAUUUCCAAAACCAGUGGUUCUCAACUGGUCACGAUCCAUAAAUGUAUUGUACAUAUGUUUUUUAAGUCAUGGACGGUGAGGAAAACAAUGCUUGAUGCAGGUAAUGAAAUGCACACAAUCCAGUAUAGACAGAUUGUAUGUGAUGCUCUCAACGAUGAAUAAAAAUAUACAGAAAAAAAAUAUGAUAUAUAAUAUAAUAUAUAUAAAAUCAAUGGGGUAUUUUUUAUUUUUUCCCCUAUUUACCCAUCAUAAUGCAUUAAAAUCUGUAUGAUUUUUACAUCUGUAUGCGAUUUCAAGAAUCAUUGCUUUAUAAAACAGUCAAAACUUCAUAUUUUUCAACUAAAACCAUACUGUAUCUGAUCAACAAUUUCUCAUUAAUGAGCAAAUGUGAAAUCAUUUCAAAGUUUUGAACAUUACCAUGUUAUUACCAUGCAUUUACCCCUUUUUGAUUAAUUAAAAAAUGAAAAAAAAAACUUUAGGAAGUCAUCUGAAUAUAUCAUUGUAUAAAAUUUAUAAGAACAUAUAAUCUGAGAAUUUCCAGUAUUAAACCCCACUGGAAUAAAUGUAAUUUAAAUUCCUUUGACUUUAUAGUUCGUGAUUGCUCAAAAACUUUAUGAAACUUACAUACCUAUUUCUAAUAAAACAACAUAAAUAUUACUCUGAAAAGUUUUCAAACCAAAUAAAUUCCUUUUACUUAAAUAAACGUUAAAUUUCAGAAGAAAAAGUGUUAACAUUUUUAUGCUGCAAUGGCUCAUUAAUCAAAAUAAUUUAACUAAUUUCAAUUAAAUUUCAUUUUGGAGGUUACAUGAGAUUAAGGCAACUGAUUUUGAGUCUUUAAGUUGAAGUGGAAAUGUUUUCGUGUACCACACUGAGUUUUGUGCAAAUUAUUGGCUGCUAGAAUCAUGAAACCAUCAGAAUUCUGUCUUUGUGAUAAAAAGUGUUGGUCUUGCUGGUUCACCAUUUGAUCUCCAGCAGCAAAACCAGUUAAGAACCACUGAACUCCAUCUCCGACGUCGUUUAUGAUUGGUUUCCAGUGAGGAUUCAGUCUGUGUGUGGAUGAUGUCGUCUCAAGGCUCCUCCUCCACUUCUCUGAUUGGCUGGAUGAUGUUGCUGGUGGAUUUGUACUGAUUGAUCUGAUUGGCUGCGUGUGUGUUGGUGUGUUUGCUUUGCGUGUUUCUUGGGAAGCAGUUCUCGGGUUCAUCUGUGUACCAGUUUUUAUCUGCAGAAUGAUUGACAUCAUUUACUGUACGCCUGAAGCUUGAUCUACACAAGUGAGUGAAAGCAGACGUUAGAUAUGCAAGCUCUGUCUCAUGCACUGAGUGUUGAAAAGUUUUAGUCCAUAUGUACGUGUUGCAUUCAGAGCAGGGUUAUUAUAAUUAACUAAAAUUAAAACCAUAAAAAUGUUUAUAUGUUUACAUUAACAAUUUUUUUUUAUUUCAGCACUGUAAAACGUUGUAUGAUCAAAUAAGUAAUUUUAACACGUCUUUCC